GACGUAGGGCGCGAGCGUUGUCCGGAUUUAUUGGGCGUAAAGAGCUCGUAGGCGGCUUGUUGCGUCGACUGUGAAAACCCGCGGCUUAACCGCGGGCUUGCAGUUGAUACGGGCAGGCUAGAGUUCGGUAGGGGAGACUGGAAUUCCUGGUGUAGCGGUGAAAUGCGCAGAUAUCAGGAGGAACACCGGUGGCGAAGGCGGAUCUCUGGGCCUUACCUGACGCUGAGGCGCGAAAGCUAGGGGAGCGAACAGG
rnacentral:rRNA from 1 species